rnacentral:misc_RNA from 1 species
CAGAAUGCCACUGAUGCCAAUUGAUAGAGUUCAUUAGUCUGCGAUGAUAGGCUUAUCAUAAGCUUCAGAAACCAUGGUACACAAGUACGAGAUAAUAUUGUCAAGACAGCCAAAAAUGUUACUAGAAGCACCAACGAUUUAGUCAUGGACAUGACUCCUUGAAGAACACCAGAAGUACCACCAAGAACAGGAAGCAAAGCAAAAAGCAAACCAACUGCACAAUCCUGCAAGAUAAGGGUGCCAAUAGUGACUUGACCAUGAAGGG